CCGGCUCUUGGUGCUGAAAGUUUUGGAUGAACCCUGGUGUGAUAAAUUUACCGGCAUAUCAGCUCAUGCUUUUUGUUCAUGGGCGUGUAAUUUUCUAGUUGCCUUUUGCAAAAUGUUUCAAAGGCUCUCAUUUCUAUGAUCGACUGAGGGUAAUUAUUCUUGCCUUGAAUAUAGAAGAAUCCGCUCUGAUUGAAUCUCAUUCCUUGGCGUCUCAAGCACUUUUGUGGGAAUUACUCUCCUCCCACUAUAUAAAGAGCUCAACAAUUGACAUGAUAUCCUCUAUUGAACCAACGGGCUUCUUGGCUAGCACUCAC
rnacentral:lncRNA from 1 species